rnacentral:piRNA from 1 species
UGGAAGAGGCAAAUGUUGUUACGGUUCU